AUGAACGCUGGCGGCGUGCCUAAUCCCUGCAAGUCGCGCGAACGGACGAGAAGCUUGCUUCUCUGAUGUUAGCGGCGGACGGGUGAGUAACACGUGGAUAACCUACCUAUAAGACUGGGAUAACUUCGGGAAACCGUAGCUAAUACCGGAUAAUAUUUUGAACCGCAUGGUUCAAAAGUGAAAGACGGUCUUGCUGUCACUUAUAGAUGGAUCCGCGCUGCAUUAGCUAGUUGGUAAGGUAACGGCUUACCAAGGCAACGAUGCAUAGCCGACCUGAGAGGGUGAUCGGCCACACUGGAACUGAGACACGGUCCAGACUCCUACGGGAGGCAGCAGUAGGGAAUCUUCCGCAAUGGGCGAAAGCCUGACGGAGCAACGCCGCGUGAGUGAUGAAGGUCUUCGGAUCGUAAAACUCUGUUAUUAGGGAAGAACAUAUGUGUAAGUAACUGUGCACAUCUUGACGGUACCUAAUCAGAAAGCCACGGCUAACUACGUG
rnacentral:rRNA from 1 species